UACCUUUUGUAUAAUGGGUCAGCGACUUAUAUUCUGUAGCAAGGUUAACCGAAUAGGGGAGCCGAAGGGAAACCGAGUCUUAACUGGGCGUUAAGUUGCAGGGUAUAGACCCGAAACCCGGUGAUCUAGCCAUGGGCAGGUUGAAGGUUGGGUAACACUAACUGGAGGACCGAACCGACUAAUGUUGAAAAAUUAGCGGAUGACUUGUGGCUGGGGGUGAAAGGCCAAUCAAACCGGGAGAUAGCUGGUUCUCCCCGAAAGCUAUUUAGGUAGC
rnacentral:rRNA from 1 species